AUUGAACGCUGGCGGCAUGCUUUACACAUGCAAGUCGAACGGUAACAGGCCGCAAGGUGCUGACGAGUGGCGAACGGGUGAGUAAUGCAUCGGAACGUGCCCAGUCGUGGGGGAUAACUGCUCGAAAGAGCAGCUAAUACCGCAUACGAUCUAUGGAUGAAAGCGGGGGACCGUAAGGACUCGCGCGAUUGGAGCGGCCGAUGACAGAUUAGGUAGUUGGUGGGGUAAAGGCUCACAAAGCCAACGAUCUGUAGCUGGUCUGAGAGGCCGACCAGCCACACUGGGACUGAGACACGGCCCAGACUCCUACGGGAGGCAGCAGUGGGGAAUUUUGGACAAUGGGGGCAACCCUGAUCCAGCAAUGCCGCGUGCAGGAAAAAGGCCUUCGGGUUGUAAACUGCUUUUGUACGGAACGAAACGGUCUGGGUUAAUACCCUGGGCUAAUGACGGUACCGUAAGAAUAAGCACCGGCUAACUACGUGCCAGCCGCCGCCGUAACAC
rnacentral:rRNA from 1 species